GUAGGUGGCAAGCGUUGUCCGGAAUUAUUGGGCGUAAAGCGCGCGCAGGUGGUUCUUUAAGUCUGAUGUGAAAGCCCCCGGCUCAACCGGGGAGGGUCAUUGGAAACUGGGGAACUUGAGUGCAGGAGAGGAAAGUGGAAUUCCACGUGUAGCGGUGAAAUGCGUAGAUAUGUGGAGGAACACCAGUGGCGAAGGCGACUUUCUGGCCUGUAACUGACACUGAGGCGCGAAAGCGUGGGGAGCAAACAGGGAUUAGAUACCCUGGUAGUCCACGCCGUAAACGAUGAGUGCUAAGUGUUGGGGGGGUUUUCGCCCCUCAGUGCUGCAGCUAACGCAUUAAGCACUCCGCCUGGGGAGUACGGUCGCAAGACUG
rnacentral:rRNA from 1 species